rnacentral:misc_RNA from 1 species
GAAAUGCGAUAAGUAAUGUGAAUUGCAGAAUUCAGUGAAUCAUCGAAUCUUUGAACGCACCUUGCGCUCCUUGGUAUCCCGAGGAGCAUGCCUGUUUGAGUGUCAUGGAAUUCUCAACUCUAUUUGCUUUUGUGAAUAGAGCUUGGAUUUGGAGGUUUAUUGCUGGUACUUGUGAUCGGCUCCUCUUGAAUGCAUUAGCUCGAACCUUUGCGGAUCAGCUAUCGGUGUGAUAAUUGUCUACGCCGUUGCAGUGAAGCAUAUCAAUGGGCUCGGCUUCCAAUCGUCCUUUACUGGACAAUGACUUUGACCUUUGACCUCAAAUCAGGUAGGAUUACCCGCUGAACUUAAGC